rnacentral:lncRNA from 1 species
CUUCGAUCCAAUCUAUCAACGCAAAUUUCGGUGAUAUCAUUACAUAUAGACUAUAGUUAUCCAAUCUUUCUCAAUUUAAUGCUAUGAACUAGAGUUGUAAAUCAUUUCUUGUGUAUUCAUGUUUUUUCAGCAAUGUCAUACAACACAAUAGUUAUGCACACUUCUCUAAAUCAUGGAAUCAUCUUAUAUUCUGUCCACCCUUUGAAAAUAAUGAUAAUACAAAACAAUGUCUCUGACUUUGAUCAUUGUUUGUAGACAAUACAAUUCUCUAGCAAUUACCAUCACUGUGUCUUCUCUCUUGACUAGUACUUGACUAAGCUUCCACUCUACAGACCCUAAAUAACAACUGAAUUUACAAACCCUUAUAAAUUAUUUAAUAAAUCCUUAUAAAUAAUUUCAAUACUAAAGUCUCAAUACCCAUAGUCUUUAAUUAAUUCAUAAACCCAAUUCCUAAAAUUUCAAAACACGAAAUCA